rnacentral:rRNA from 1 species
AGAGUUUGAUCCUGGCUCAGAACGAACGCUGGCGGCGCGUCUUAAGCAUGCAAGUCGAACGGAACUUAGAGGAGCAAUCUGAUAAGUUCAGUGGCGCACGGGUGAGUAACACGUAAAUAAUCUGCCUCCAAGUCGAGGAUAACUCAGCGAAAGUUGAGCUAAUACUUGAUGUGGUGUAGGGGACGAAAUUAGCCUACAUUAAAGUCGGAGCAAUCUGACGCUAGGAGAUGAGUUUGCGGCCUAUUAGCUAGUUGGCGGGGUAAAUGCCCACCAAGGCGAUGAUGGGUAACCGGCCUGAGAGGGUGUACGGUCACAUUGGAACUGAGACACGGUCCAGACUCCUACGGGAGGCAGCACCUAAGAAUAUUCCUCAAUGGGCGAAAGCCUGAAGGAGCGACGCCGCGUGGAUGAUGAAGGCCUUCGGGUUGUAAAAUCCUUUUGUCAGGGAAAAAGGCGUAUACGUUAACUGCGUGUACGAUUGAUUGUACCUGAUGAAUAAGCCCCGGCUAAUUACGUGCCAGCAGCCGCGGUAAUACGUAUGGGGCAAGCGUUGUUCGGAUUUACUGGGUGUAAAGGGCGCGUAGGUGGUUUGGUAAGUUUGAUGUCAAAAGUCAAGGCUCAACUUUGAUCUCGCAUUGAAUACUGCCAUUCUAGAGUUUGGAAGGGGUAAGCGGAAUUCUUGGUGUAGGGGUAAAAUCUGUAGAUAUCAGGAAGAACACCGAUGGCGAAGGCAGCUUACUGGUCCACAACUGACACUGAGGCGCGAAAGCUAGGGGAGCGAACGGGAUUAGAUACCCCGGUAGUCCUAGCCCUAAACGAUGUACACUAGGCGUGUUUGGUAUCGAUCCCAAACGUGCCGAAGCUAACGCAUUAAGUGUACCACCUGGGGAGUAUGCUCGCAAGGGUAAAACUCAAAGGAAUUGACGGGGGCCCGCACAAGCGGUGGAGCAUGUGGUUUAAUUCGAUGGUACGCGAGGAACCUUACCAGGGUUUGACAUGUAUAUGACAGGUAGCGAAAGCUAUCCUCCAGCAAUGGCAUAUGCACAGGUGCUGCAUGGUUGUCGUCAGCUCGUGCCGUGAGGUGUUAGGUUAAGUCCUGCAACGAGCGCAACCCCCAUCCUAUGUUGCUACCGGGUAAUGCCGGGCACUCUUAGGAAACUGCCAGUGAUGAACUGGAGGAAGGUGGGGACGACGUCAAAUCAUCAUGGCCCUUAUGUCCUGGGCUACACACGUGCUACAAUGGAUGGUACAGAGGGUUGCAGAACUGCGAAGUGAAGCUAAUCCCUUAAAGCCAUUCCCAGUUCGGAUUGAAGUCUGAAACUCGACUUCAUGAAG